rnacentral:rRNA from 1 species
AUGGCGACGUCGCGGGCGGACGUGGAGAAGGGCGGGUCGUCGCCGAGGAAGGCGAAGCAGGAGCCGGGCAAGGUGCCGUCGCCGCUGUACCCGCAGCACGAGGGGGAGCGGGAGUGGACGCCCUGGCUGGUGCCCUCCAUCCUGGUCGCCAACAUCACCGUCUUCACCAUCGCCAUGUACUACAACAACUGCCCCGCCCACAACGCCAAGCCGGGGCGCGACGGCCAGUGCGUCGCCCGCUUCCUCCACCGCUUCUCCUUCCAGCCCCUCCGCCAGAACCCGCUGCUCGGCCCAUCCUCCGCAACGCUGGUGAAGAUGGGCGCGCUGGUGUGGGACAAGGUGGUGCACGGGCACCAGGGGUGGCGCCUCUUCUCCUGCAUGUGGAUGCACGCCGGCGUCCUCCACCUCGUCGCCAACAUGCUCAGCCUCCUCUUCAUCGGCCUCCGCCUUGAGCAGCAGUUCGGAUACGUGAGGAUCGGCGGCAUAUACCUCAUCUCCGGCGUGGGCGGGAGCGUGCUGUCGUCGCUCUUCAUCCGGAGCGCCAUCUCGGUGGGGGCCUCCGGGGCGCUCUUCGGGCUGCUGGGGGCGAUGCUGGCGGAGCUGCUGUCCAACUGGACCAUCUACAGCAACAAGGUGGCGGCGGUGACCACGCUGCUCUUCGUCAUCGCCGUCAACCUGGUGCUGGGCAUCCUGCCGCACGUCAACAACUUCGCGCACAUCGGGGGGUUCCUCACCGGGUUCCUCCUCGGGUUCGUGCUGCUCAUGCGCCCCCACUUCGGGUGGAUGGAGCGCUACCGCCUCCCCGCCGGCAGCCCCUGCACCGCCAGGAAGUACCUCCCCUACCAGUGGGCGCUCAUGGCCGUCGCCCUCGCCCUCGCCGUCGCAGGAUUCGCGAUCGGGCUGGCCAUGGUGUUCCGCGGCGCCAACGCCAACAGCAGCUGCGGCUGGUGCCACUACCUCAGCUGCGUCCCCACCGCGAGCUGGUCAUGCGCCAACUGA